rnacentral:rRNA from 1 species
CCUACGGGAGGCAGCAGUCGAGAAUCAUUCACAAUGGGGGAAACCCUGAUGGUGCGACGCCGCGUGGGGGAAUGAAGGUCUUCGGAUUGUAAACCCCUGUCAUGUGGGAGCAAAUUAAAAAGAUAGUACCACAAGAGGAAGAGACGGCUAACUCUGUGCCAGCAGCCGCGGUAAUACAGAGGUCUCAAGCGUUGUUCGGAAUCACUGGGCGUAAAGCGUGCGUAGGCUGUUUCGUAAGUCGUGUGUGAAAGGCGCGGGCUCAACCCGCGGACGGCACAUGAUACUGCGAGACUAGAGUAAUGGAGGGGGAACCGGAAUUCUCGGUGUAGCAGUGAAAUGCGUAGAUAUCGAGAGGAACACUCGUGGCGAAGGCGGGUUCCUAGACAUUAACUGACGCUGAGGCACGAAGGCCAGGGGAGCGAAAGGGAUUAGAUACCCUAGUAGUC